rnacentral:rRNA from 1 species
AUGUGGAAAGCAAAAAUCCCCCUUAAAAUUCAAAUUUUCCUUUGGCAACUGUUUCAGGAUGCUAUCCUAACUAGAGAUGUGAUGAGUAGACGAAAGUGGCUGGGAAAUCCUGCCUGCUCCUUCUGUGCGGAGAGAGAAACAUCCCAGCAUCUCUUCUUCACUUGCCCUGUGGCCAAAGUCCUCUGGAGGAUUGUAGGCUGUGUACGGGGUACGGAUCUGUGUCCAAGUAACAUUUGGCAGUACUAUUCAUGGGCUUACAUGUUUUUACCUGAUGGGGAGAAAUUUUAUACCUUUGGUCUAGCAGGUUUCUGUUGGGCGAUGUGGAUUAAUCGUAACAGUGUUACCUUUGAGUCUAAACAGAUGAGGUCGCCUUUUGAUGUGGUUUACUCUGCAUGUGGUUUUCUUAACUACUGGGCAGGUUUGAUGACAGGAGAUGAUCGAGAGAUGAUGGAGCGCGGAGCCAAGAUGCUGAGGACCAAUGCAUCGAACAUGAUGCGGAUCUGUGCAGCGCCGAGGGGAACCUCAAACUGA